GUCCCUGUAGUUAAGUGGAUAUAACGGCUCGUUGCGGUCGAGCAGUCCGGAGUUCAAUUCUUCGCGGGGACG
rnacentral:tRNA from 1 species